rnacentral:rRNA from 1 species
GACGAACGCUGGCGGCGUGCUUAACACAUGCAAGUCGAACGGAAAGGCCCUGCUUUUGUGGGGUGCUCGAGUGGCGAACGGGUGAGUAACACGUGAGUAACCUGCCCUUGACUUUGGGAUAACUUCAGGAAACUGGGGCUCAUACCGGAUAGGAGCUCCUGCUGCAUGGUGGGGGUUGGAAAGUUUCGGCGGUUGGGGAUGGACUCGCGGCUUAUCAGCUUGUUGGUGGGGUAGUGGCUUACCAAGGCUUUGACGGGUAGCCGGCCUGAGAGGGUGACCGGCCACAUUGGGACUGAGAUACGGCCCAGACUCCUACGGGAGGCAGCAGUGAGGAAUAUUGCACAAUGGGCGGAAGCCUGAUGCAGCAACGCCGCGUGCGGGAUGACGGCCUUCGGGUUGUAAACCGCUUUCGCCUGUGACGAAGCGUGAGUGACGGUAAUGGGUAAAGAAGCACCGGCUAACUACGUG